rnacentral:rRNA from 1 species
CAGGCUGUGUCCACUCGUGCCGUGAGGUGUUAGGUUAAGUCCUGCAACGAGCGCAACCCCUGUCACUAGUUGCCAUCAUUAAGUUGGGGACUCUAGUGAGACUGCCUACGCAAGUAGAGAGGAAGGUGGGGAUGACGUCAAAUCAUCACGGCCCUUACGCCUUGGGCCACACACGUAAUACAAUGGCCGGUACAGAGGGCAGCUACACAGCGAUGUGAUGCAAAUCUCGAAAGCCGGUCUCAGUUCGGAUUGGAGUCUGCAACUCGACUCUAUGAAGCUGGAAUCGCUAGUAAUCGCGCAUCAGCCAUGGCGCGGUGAAUACGUUCCCGGGCCUUGUACACACCGCCCGUCAAGCCAUGGAAGUCUGGGGUACCUGAAGUCGGUGACCGUAACAGGAGCUGCCUAUGUUACCAU